rnacentral:rRNA from 1 species
UACAGAGGGGGCAAGCGUUGUUCGGAAUUACUGGGCGUAAAGGGCGCGUAGGCGGCCUUCUAAGUCGAACGUGAAAUCCCCGGGCUCAACCCGGGAACUGCGUCCGAUACUGGAAGGCUUGAAUCCGGGAGAGGGAUGCGGAAUUCCAGGUGUAGCGGUGGAAUGCGCAGAUAUCAGGAGGAACACCAAUAGCGAAGGCAGCUCGCUGGGACGGUAUUGACGCUAAGGCGCGAAAGCGUGGGGAGCAAACAGG